CUUGGUCAUUUAGAGGAAGUAAAAGUCGUAACAAGGUUUCCGUAGGUGAACCUGCGGAAGGAUCAUUACUGAACUGUCGACACGAGUUGUUGCUGGUCCUCGAAAGGGGUCAUGUGCACGCUCUGUUUACACAUCCACUCACACCCCUGUGCACCCUUGUAGUUCUAUGGCCUGGGGACUCUGUCCUCUCGCCGUGGUCCUACGUCUUUACACACAGACCGUAACAAAGUAUCAUGGAAUGUAUGUCGCGUCUAACGCAAUACAAUACAACUUUCAGCAACGGAUCUCUUGGCUCUCGCAUCGAUGAAGAACGCAGCGAAAUGCGAUAAGUAAUGUGAAUUGCAGAAUUCAGUGAAUCAUCGAAUCUUUGAACGCACCUUGCGCCCUUUGGCUAUUCCGAAGGGUAUGCCUGUUUGAGUAUCAUGAACACCUCCACUCUCAUGGUCCGCCAUGAUGAGCUUGGACUUUGGGGGUCUUGCUGGCAUAACCACCGGCUCCUCUCAAAGAAUCAGCUUCCCAGUGUUUGGUGGCGUCACAGGUGUGAUAACUAUCUACGCUUGUGGUCCUCCAUCAGUUACCUUCAGUAAUGGAGGUUCGCUGGAGCUCACAGACGUCUCUCCUCAGGGAGGACAGCUUUUAUUGUUUGAUCUCAAUCAGGUAGGACUACCCGCUGAACUUAAGCAUAUCAAUAAGCGGAGGA
rnacentral:rRNA from 1 species